rnacentral:rRNA from 1 species
UACGUAGGGUGCAAGCGUUGUCCGGAAUUAUUGGGCGUAAAGAGCUCGUAGGCGGUUUGUUGCGUCGGCUGUGAAAUCCCGAGGCUCAACCUCGGGUCUGCAGUCGAUACGAGCAAACUAGAGUGUUGCAGGGGAGACUGGAAUUCCUGGUGUAGCGGUGAAAUGCGCAGAUAUCAGGAGGAACACCGGUGGCGAAGGCGGGUCUCUGGGCCGAUACUGACGCUGAGACGCGAAAGCGUGGGGAGCGAACAGG